ensembl:lncRNA
AGCAAAUGAAAACAGUUCAGGCGUACGCUGAAAAGGCAAUAAGAGUGUUUACAGGAGGAGAGACGCAGACAAAUCACCCAAUAGAGCGGCGCGGGGAUGACGUCAUUCUGUACCAAAACCCGGAAGUUAUCAUCAGGAGGAUAAAGCGAGGCUCGCCGCUCAAGCGCUAAAACGCUAAGGGUUUUUGGCGUACAAAAUGAUGUCAUCCCUGCACCACUUUCUGGUGACUGGCUGUAAGUUUAGGAAGCACUUGAACUGAUUUGCAGCGGAGUUUUCUAUGAGCGGAGGACGAACUUUAAACGUCAAUAUCGCAGUCGAUCGCGUUCAUUUAAUCGUGGGCAGUCAAAAUCGCAAUCGCCAUCGAUAUCCGAUUAAUUGUGCGGCGCUACCUAAAACCAAGAAAUAACCUCCUAAACCACACGGGACACCGGUUACACUUUUGUGCAUUACAUAGCGCAAGUAAUGUAGUUAAUGUUAGACAGAUUUCAGGCAAGAGAGGAAGACUGAGAGAGAGAGAGAGAGAGAGAGAGAGAGAGAGAGAGAGAGAGAAAGGCAGAGGGAAAGAGAAAGAGAGAGAGAAAAAGGGAGACAAAAGAGCUGCUGACACAGACACGAGAAAGAUACAGAGAAAGACAGACCAUCAGAGAUGGAUAUAUAAUGACCGAUAUAAAGAGAAAGAGAGAGAGAGAGCGACAGAUAGAGAGAAAGAUGGAUAUAGAGAAUGAUAAAGACAGAGAAACAGAGUCAGAAACAGAGUCAAAGAUAAAUAGAUAGAUAGACAGAUAGCAAGAGAUAGAGAGACAGAUAGACAGACAAACAGACAGUGAUAGAUAGACAGAGUGAAAGUCAGAGAGUGAGAGAGAUAGAUAGAUAGAGACAGAGACAGAUAUAUAGCUAAAGACAGAUAGAGAGACAGUGAGAGAGUGAGAUAGAUAUAGAUAGAAAUAGUGACAGAGACAGAGUGAGAGAAAUAGAUGGAUAGACAGAUAAUGAGAGAGACAGACAGAUAGAGGCAGUGAGAGUGAGACAGAUAGAUAGUGACAGAGAGGCAGUGAGAGUGAGACAGAGAGGCAGUGAGAGUGAGACAGAGAGGCAGUGAGAGUGAGACAGAGAGGCAGUGAGAGUGAGACAGAGAGGCAGUGAGAGUGAGA